CGAUAAGCUGUGAGAAGUCGGUAAGAGACGCUAUUACUCACAGAUUUCCGAAUGGGGAAACCCACUUAGCAUAAGCUAGGUAUCGUUGCAUGAAUACAUAGUGCAACGAGGCGAACCGGGAGAACUGAAACAUCUAAGUACCCCGAGGAAAAGAAAUCAACCGAGAUUCCCUCAGUAGCGGCGAGCGAACGGGGAUUAGCCCUUAAGUUUCUUGGAAGUUAGUGGAAUGGUCCUGGAAAGGCCAGCGAUACAGGGUGAUAGCCCCGUACA
rnacentral:rRNA from 1 species